UUAUGUAAAGUCUAGCCUGCCCAGUGAUAAUUGAAUUUAACGGCCGCGGUAGCAUGACCGUGCUAAGGUAGCAUAAUCAUUUGUCCUUUAAUUGAGGACUGGUAUAAACGGCUGCACAAGAAAUUGUCUGUCUCUACUAUAAAAUUUGAAAUUCACAUUUAAGUGAAAAGGCUUAAAUGGAAUAGGGGGACGAUAAGACCCUAUAAAUCUUUACAAUUAGGGCUUUAGUUAUUAGAAAGUAGUUAUGGAUCUAAAUCUAAGGUUUAAAUUGUUUUGUUGGGGCGACAGAAGUAUAAUAAGUAACUGCUUUGGUUUUCAUAUUAAUUGUUUUUAUUAUGGUUAGUUUAAAAGAUCCUCUUUUGGAGAUCACAGAUUAAGUUACUUUAGGGAUAACAGCGUAAUCUUUCUUGAGAGUUCAUAUCGAAAGAAGGGUUUGCGACCUCGAUGUUGAAUUAAAGAACCUUUAUGGUGUAGCCGCUAUAAGAGGA
rnacentral:rRNA from 1 species